CAGCCGCCGCGGUAAUACGGAGGAUCCGAGCGUUAUCCGGAAUUAUUGGGUUUAAAGGGUGCGUAGGCGGACAGAUAAGUCAGUGGUGAAAGACGGUGGCUCAACCAUCGCAGUGCCGUUGAUACUGUUUGUCUUGAAUAUGGAUGAGGUAGGCGGAAUGUGGCAAGUAGCGGUGAAAUGCAUAGAUAUGCCACAGAACACCGAUUGCGAGGGCAGCUUACCAAGGCAAUAUUGACGCUGAGGCACGAAAGCGUGGGGAUCGAACAGGAUUAGAUACCCCUGUAGUCCCUGUCUCUUAUAU
rnacentral:rRNA from 1 species